UCAACUGGAGCGGGUCAAAACUGCCUAAAAUUCUAAAUUUUUUUUGUGUAAAUCGAAUUUUAGAAAUGUUUUAUUUUUCGGUCCAUUUUUUUUCUCAAUUUUUUUUUAUCACUUUUGGCAAGGUGAAGUAAAAUGUAAAUUCAGUUUGGUCAAAAUGCUUCGCCGAACGGUUGGCAAAAAUUACAAAAUUUGUGUUCAUAAUUUCCAUUUAUAUUGAUUAUAUUGUACACAUAAAAAUCCUGCGGUCAACUUAUAUAUUGUACAUAUAUCCAAAUGCAUCCCCAGAAUGAAGAACCGGCUUUCAAGGUCAAUUUUACGAAGAUACGAACCAAAACAACACCCAUCAUUCAAUGAUGCAUAGCAAUGUAAAAUGACCUUCCAAGUGUGGGGCGAGCGCUUUCUCUCUGGCGUAUCUGGCGGAUGUUAGCGCAAACUAUGAACAUAAACGCAACGGAAUAAAACAAACACCACUGCAACAAGAAUUCAAAAUACAUAUACAAUUUCAUAUAUACAUAUAGUAAUAUAUAUAUUUAUAAAUAUAUAUGUUACAUACACAAUUACAUAGACAUGAACAAAGAUAGUUAGUUACCUGCACUCCAUAUAUCUGUAUGUACAUCCAACCAUAUAUGCAUAUAUAUAUGUAUACAAAUAUCUUCGAGUCUCAUACAUCAUCAUAUCAUGAUAUAAGAACGCGUUUGCCACUCCAUAUAGAUUGCACAUACAUAUAAAAAAAAUAAUCAACAAGCAACAGCUACUGUGCGUGGUAUGCAGGUUUCAUUAAUCGCUUGAAUAUCAAACUCAAACGAUGUAAAAAUAGGUGUCAAACUUUGAGACAUACCUACUCAAUAUCUAGACAUUAGUUACGUUUUGAUUGGCUCUCUCAUUUUCAUCUUCAAAUCGACGGUACCGCGCUAUGAGCAGAGCGCUGCAGCUAGCGUCGUAAGCGAAAAAUUGUCAAGUAAGGAAUCUAAAUGAGAUCCAAUCAAUACACAAGGGCGCACAACAACCGAUUCUUAGUUAUAGUAACUAAUACAAGGAUAAGAAACGACAAAUUAGGAAAAUACAUGUAUAUGAAACUAUCAAAGUUUCGUUAGCCGGUCCAAAAGUCAAACUAUAAUCAAGAUUCAACUUCUCAAAUAAAAAAACGAAAAUUCGAGUUGAUUUUCAGGACGGUACCACGCCCCUUUACUUGAUGCCGGGGACGUGUGCUCGCGUCCAGUUUUAAUGGAGUAACUGUUAUGCAAAAAUAAAAUGUUUCAAAUAAAUCACU
rnacentral:sRNA from 1 species